rnacentral:lncRNA from 1 species
GUCCAACCUUAAAGCUGGGAUUGCCCCCUUGGGGCUCCCUGAGGGACUCCGUCUGUCGGGCUCCUAGCCUGGGGGAGGACGACCUUCAAGCCAUCCGAAAACUUCUUAGUUAUCCAACUCCUUCCCUUCCCAACCUUCUGAAGGAGCAAUUUCUGUUCAACAUCGGCUUGAGUCCCUUGGAUCCUGCGAGUAUUCCAUCUUUC